rnacentral:tRNA from 1 species
GCACGGGUGGCUCAGCUGGUAGAGCCUCUGGCUUUGGCUCAGGUCAAGAUCUCUUGGUUCGUGGGUUCGAGCCCCGCAUCGGGCU